GACGAACGCUGGCGGCGUGCUUAACACAUGCAAGUCGAACGGAAAGGCCCUGCUUUUGUGGGGUGCUCGAGUGGCGAACGGGUGGGUAACACGUGAGUAACCUGCCCUUGACUUUGGGAUAACUUCAGGAAACUGGGGCUAAUACCGGAUAGGAGCUCCUGCUGCAUGGUGGGGGUUGGAAAGUUUCGGCGGUUGGGGAUGGACUCGCGGCUUAUCAGCUUGUUGGUGGGGUAGUGGCUUACCAAGGCUUUGACGGGUAGCCGGCCUGAGAGGGUGACCGGCCACAUUGGGACUGAGAUACGGCCCAGACUCCUACGGGAGGCAGCAGUGGGGAAUAUUGCACAAUGGGCGGAAGCCUGAUGCAGCAACGCCGCGUGCGGGAUGACGGCCUUCAGGUUGUAAACCGCUUUCGCCUGUGACGAAGCGUGAGUGACAGUAAUAGGUAAAGAAGCACCGGCUAACUACGUG
rnacentral:rRNA from 1 species